AGAGUUUGGAUCCUGGCUCAGAUUGAACGCUGGCGGCAUGCCUUACACAUGCAAGUCGAACGGUAACGCGGAGCAAUCUGGCGACGAGUGGCGAACGGGUGAGUAAUGCAUCGGAACGUGCCUGGUAAUGGGGGAUAACUGCUCGAAAGAGCAGCUAAUACCGCAUACGACCUGAGGGUGAAAGGGGGGGAUCGCAAGACCUCCCGUUAUCAGAGCGGCCGAUGUCGGAUUAGCUAGUUGGUGGGGUAAAAGCCCACCAAGGCGACGAUCCGUAGCUGGUCUGAGAGGACGACCAGCCACACUGGGACUGAGACACGGCCCAGACUCCUACGGGAGGCAGCAGUGGGGAAUUUUGGACAAUGGACGCAAGUCUGAUCCAGCCAUGCCGCGUGCGGGAAGAAGGCCUUCGGGUUGUAAACCGCUUUCGUCAGGGAAGAAAUCUUCUAGGCUAAUACCUUGGGAGGAUGACGGUACCUGAAGAAUAAGCACCGGCUAACUACGUGCCAGCAGCCGCGGUAAUACGUAGGGUGCAAGCGUUAAUCGGAAUUACUGGGCGUAAAGCGUGCGCAGGCGGUUAUGUAAGACAGGUGUGAAAUCCCCGAGCUCAACCUGGGAACUGCACUUGUGACUGCAUAGCUAGAGUACGGUAGAGGGGAGUGGAAUUCCGCGUGUAGCAGUGAAAUGCGUAGAUAUGCGGAGGAACACCGAUGGCGAAGGCAGCUCCC
rnacentral:rRNA from 1 species